CCAGAGGUAAACAGAUGUGGAAACUUUCAUUGACAACUGAUUGUCAAAGUGGUCAGAAUAUAUGUGUCAAUGGCAGGUUGCCCAUCACUUACUAUAUCUGGGAUGGUUGUGGUCUUGCUACAUUUGGACACAGACUGCUUUGGUAUCUGAGG